rnacentral:rRNA from 1 species
AUUGAACGCUGGCGGCAGGCCUAACACACGCAAGUCGGACGGUAGCACAGAGAGCUUGCUCUUGGGUGACGAGUGGCGGACGGGUGAGUAAUGUCUGGGGAUCUGCCCGAUAGAGGGGGAUAACCACUGGAAACGGUGGCUAAUACCGCAUAACGUCGCAAGACCAAAGAGGGGGACCUUCGGGCCUCUCACCAUCGGAUGAACCCAGAUGGGAUUAGCUAGUAGGUUGGGUAAUGGCCCACCUAGGCGAGGAUCCCUAGCUGGUCUGAGAGGAUGACCAGCCACACUGGAACUGAGACACGGUCCAGACUCCUACGGGAGGCAGCAGUGGGGAAUAUUGCACAAUGGGCGCAAGCCUGAUGCAGCCAUGCCGCGUGUAUGAAGAAGGCCUUCGGGUUGUAAAGUACUUUCAGCGGGGAGGAAGGCGGUACGGUUAAUAACCGUACCGAUUGACGUUACCCGCAGAAGAAGCACCGGCUAACUCCGUGCCAGCAGCCGCCGUAA